CAGUCGCCGCGGGAAUACGUAGGGUGCGAGCGUUAAUCGGAAUUACUGGGCGUAAAGCGUGCGCAGGCGGUUAUGUAAGACAGGUGUGAAAUCCCCGGGCUUAACCUGGGAACUGCGCUUGUGACUGCACAGCUAGAGUAUGGCAGAGGGGGGUGGAAUUCCGCGUGUAGCAGUGAAAUGCGUAGAUAUGCGGAGGAACACCGAUGGCGAAGGCAAUCCCCUGGGCCUGCACUGACGCUCAUGCACGAAAGCGUGGGGAGCAAACAGGAUUAGAUACCCCCGUAGUCCCUGUCUCUUAUAC
rnacentral:rRNA from 1 species